GUGGGGAAUAUUGGACAAUGGGCGCAAGCCUGAUCCAGCCAUGCCGCGUGAGUGACGAAGGCCUUAGGGUUGUAAAGCUCUUUUGGCGGGGACGAUAAUGACGGUACCCGCAGAAUAAGCUCCGGCUAACUUCGUGCCAGCAGCCGCGGUAAUACGAAGGGAGCUAGCGUUGUUCGGAAUUACUGGGCGUAAAGCGCACGUAGGCGGACUUGUUAGUCAGGGGUGAAAUCCCGGGGCCCAACCUCGGAACUGCCUUUGAUACUGCAAGUCUGGAGUCCGGAAGAGGUGGGUGGAAUUCCUAGUGUAGAGGUGAAAUUCGUAGAUAUUAGGAAGAACACCGGUGGCGAAGGCGGCCCACUGGUCCGGUACUGACGCUGAGGUGCGAAAGCGUGGGGAGCAAACAGG
rnacentral:rRNA from 1 species